rnacentral:rRNA from 1 species
UACGUAGGUGGCAAGCGUUGUCCGGAUUUACUGGGCGUAAAGAGCGCGCAGGCGGUCAGAUAAGUCGAAUGUGAAAGCCCCCGGCUCAACUGGGGAGGGUCAUUCGAUACGGUUCGACUCGAAGGCAGGAGAGGGAAGCGGAAUUCCCGGUGUAGUGGUGAAAUGCGUAGAUAUCAGGAGGAACACCAGUGGCGAAGGCGGUGCUCUGGGCCGAAACUGACGCUGAGGAGCGAAAGCGUGGGUAGCAAACAGG